AGUACUUCUCAGUCUUUUGUCUAAAAUCAAGUGUAGUAUCUGUUCUCAUCAGCUUAAUAAUUGUCCAUACUCAUGGCAUGUAAUAGUUUAAAAAAUAAUGACCCAAU
rnacentral:snRNA from 1 species